AAAAAGAUAAGCUAAUUUAAGCUUUUGGGUUCAUACCCCGACUAUAAAGACUUCUUUUCUUUUUA
rnacentral:tRNA from 1 species